AGUGAACGUUGGCGGCGUGGAUUAGGCAUGCAAGUCGAGCGAGAACCGUAGCAAUACGGGGACAGCGGCGAAAGGGACAGUAAUGUGUAGGUACCUACCUCCGGGUUCGGGAUAGCUGCGGGAAACUGCAGGUAAUACCGAAUAACGUCUCCGGACCAAAGGUGUGAUUCCACCUGGAGAGGGGCCUGCAUCCUAUUAGCUUGUUGGCGGGGUAACGGCGCACCAAGGCGACGAUGGGUAGCGGGUGUGAGAGCACGACCCGCGUCAUUGGGACUGAGACACUGCCCAGACACCAACGGGUGGCUGGAGUCGAGAAUCUGCGGCAAUGGGCGCAAGCCUGACCGAGCGACGCCGCGUGCGGGAUGAAGGCCUUCGGGUUGUAAACCGCUGUCGUAGAGGAGGAAAUGCAGGGGGGUUCUCCCCUCUGUUUGACCUAUUCUAGGAGGAAGUACGGGCGAAGUUCGUGCCAGCCGCCGCAGUAA
rnacentral:rRNA from 1 species